GGUAGGAUGGCCGAGUGGUCUAAGGCGGUAGAUUCAAGUGUUGUUGAAUUCUUCGAUGGUUUCAUCGAGUCCCCUACUUAUCCUGGGUUCGAAUCCCAGUUCUACCA